rnacentral:lncRNA from 1 species
AAGAAAUUACCAGAGUCCUCACCUACAGUUGCAGGUGAUUCCUGUACCUCUCACUGUUGUGCUACUGAAGACAUUAAAGAGUCCUCUAUUGUACAAGUGCAAGAACAACAGAUCAAAUUACUAGAAAUCCCAGAGCACUCUGAUAUCACGCAAGUUUAUCUUCAUGCAAGCUGCCUGGUCAGCACUACACAGAGAAGCCUGACUUCAAGCAAAACUGAGGCUUUCCUCAGUCUGGCUCAGAGAAAGCUCCUGUGAGGAAAUGGGAACAAAAAUACUUAACUUCGUAAAGGAGCUAGAUGCCGUGAAUAAAACCAGACUUGCUUUGCA